rnacentral:rRNA from 1 species
GUGACGAAGCGACGCCGCGUGUGGGAAGAAGGCCUUCGGGUUGUAAACCACUGUUGGGAGUUAGGAAAUGUGGAGGUGUUAAUAGCGCCUUCAUUUGACUAAAGCUCCAGAGGAAGCCACGGCUAACUCUGUGCCAGCAGCUGCGGUAAUACAGAGGUGGCAAGCGUUGUUCGGAAUUAUUGGGCGUAGAGAGCACGUAGGCGGCUCUGCAAGUCAGCUGUGAAAGCCUUCUGCUUAACGGAAGAACGGCAGUUGAAACUACAGGGCUUGAGUGCGGGAGGGGAGAGUGGAACUUCUGGUGGAGCGGUGAAAUGCGUAGAUAUCAGAAGGAACGCCGGCGGCGAAAGCGGCUCUCUGGUCCGUAACUGACGCUGAGUGUGCGAAAGCUAGGGGAGCAAACGGGAUUAGAUACCCCGGUAGUCCUAGCCGUAACGAU